rnacentral:rRNA from 1 species
GUGAGGAAUAUUGCGCAAUGGAGGCAACUCUGACGCAGCCAUGCUGCGUGCAGGAAGAAGGCGCUACGCGUUGUAAACUGCUUUUAACCGGGAAGAAACCCCAGGACGUGUCCUGGGUUGACGGUACCGGAGGAAUAAGCACCGGCUAACUUCGUGCCAGCAGCCGCGGUAAUACGAAGGGUGCAAGCGUUAUCCGGAUUCAUUGGGUUUAAAGGGUGCAUAGGCGGAGCGUUAAGUCAGUGGUGAAAUCCUGCAGCUUAACUGUAGACUUGCCAUUGAUACUGGCGCUCUUGAGUGCGCUUGAAGUGGGCGGAAUGUGCCGUGUAGCGGUGAAAUGCUUAGAUAUGGCACAGAACACCAAUUGCGAAGGCAGCUCACUAAGGCGAUACUGACGCUGAGGCACGAAAGCGUGGGGAUCGAACAGGAUUAGAAACCCUUGUAGUCC